rnacentral:rRNA from 1 species
AUUGAACGCUGGCGGCAUGCCUUACACAUGCAAGUCGAACGGCAGCAUGGAGAGCUUGCUCUCUGAUGGCGAGUGGCGAACGGGGGAGUCAUGCAUCGGAACGUACCGUGUAAUGGGGGAUAACGUAGCGAAAGUUACGCUAAUAACGCAUACGACCUGAGGGUGAAGGCAGGGGAUCGCAAGACCUGUCGUUAUACGAGCGGCCGAUGUCAGAAUAGCUAGUUGGAGAGGUAAAGGCUCACCAAGGCGACGAUCUGUAGCGGGUCUGAGAGGAUGAUCCGCCACACUGGGACUGAGAGACGGCCAAGACUCCUACGGGAGGCAGCAGUGGGGAAUUUUGGACAAUGGGGGCAACCCUGAUCCAGCCAUGCCGCGUGAGUGAAGAAGGCCUUCGGGUUGUAAAGCUCUUUCGGCCGGGAAGAAAUCGCACAGGCUAAUACUCUGUGUGGAUGACGGUACCGGCAUAAGAAGCACCGGCUAACUACGUGCCAGCAGCCGCCGUAA